GGCCUAUCAGCUUGUUGGUGGGGUAAUGGCCUACCAAGGCGACGACGGGUAGCCGGCCUGAGAAGGGCGACCGGCCACACUGGGACUGAGACACGGCCCAGACUCCUACGGGAGGCAGCAGUGGGGAAUAUUGCACAAUGGGCGAAAGCCUGAUGCAGCGACGCCGCGUGAGGGAUGACGGCCUUCGGGUUGUAAACCUCUUUCAGCAGGGAAGAAGCGCAAGUGACGGUACCUGCAGAAGAAGCACCGGCUAACUACGUGCCAC
rnacentral:rRNA from 1 species